CUACGGGGCGCUGCAGUGGGGAAUAUUGCACAAUGGGCGCAAGCCUGAUGCAGCCAUGCCGCGUGUAUGAAGAAGGCCUUCGGGUUGUAAAGUACUUUCAGCGGGGAGGAAGGGAGUAAAGUUAAUACCUUUGCUCAUUGACGUUACCCGCAGAAGAAGCACCGGCUAACUCCGUGCCAGCAGCCGCGGUAAUACGGAGGGUGCAAGCGUUAAUCGGAAUUACUGGGCGUAAAGCGCACGCAGGCGGUUUGUUAAGUCGGAUGUGAAAUCCCCGGGCUCAACCUGGGAACUGCAUCUGAUACUGGCAAGCUUGAGUCUCGUAGAGGGGGGUAGAAUUCCAGGUGUAGCGGUGAAAUGCGUAGAGAUCUGGAGGAAUACCGGUGGCGAAGGCGGCCCCCUGGACGAAGACUGACGCUCAGGUGCGAAGGCGUGGGGAGCAAACAGGAUUAGAUACCCCGGUAGUC
rnacentral:rRNA from 1 species